rnacentral:rRNA from 1 species
UACGUAGGGGGCAAGCGUUGUCCGGAUUUAUUGGGCGUAAAGAGCUCGUCGGUGGGUUGGUAAGUCGGAUGUGAAAUCUCCAGGCUCAACCUGGAGGGGUCAUUCGAUACUGCCAUGACUAGAGGUCGGUAGGGGAGUGUGGAAUUCCUGGUGGAGCGGUGAAAUGCGCAGAUAUCAGGAGGAACACCCGUAGCGAAGGCGGCACUCUGGGCCGAUACUGACACUGAGGAGCGAAAGCGUGGGGAGCGAACAGG